AUAUAUAAUAUAUAAAAAUUAAAUAUAUGUAAUAUAUAAUUUUAAAUAUAUAAUGUAUAUAUUUUAAAUAUGUAAUUUUUACAUUUUGCAGUGCUGGAGAUUGAAUUCAAGGCCCACUCACACACUAGGUUAGUUAGUGCUUUACACAGAAUAACAGCCCAGCCUCCUUGGAUGGCAUUGAAAGGUGAGAGCCAAGAGGUCACGUGAGAAGCAAAGGCAGGUCCUUCAUCCCGACUCUUGCUCUAAUGCAGCCCAUUUCUCACCAGUAAGUAGACAGGCGGCGGCCUCUUUGCUAGUUAGAAACGUAAAACACUUUUCUAAAGGCUGUUUGUGUAGGCGCUUUUGAAAACUCGUGCACGUAAUAAAUAGUCUAACUUCUCCAUAUUAAGCCUUUGCCAUCACCAGGUCUGUGGCACAGCAGUGACAUCCAGUCCCAGAAGACCACAUUUAUUUGGAGAAUGAAGACUACAGGAAAAGCUUCUCGAGCAGAAUUUUGAUUACAAAUAAAAUUCAAAGUGAGGCGUCCAGUUUUAAGGACUAGGUAUUUCUCCUAAUUAGACAAGAGAGCUGGGAAGCCUGUCAUUUAUUCUAGCAUGAUUCUGUAAAUGUUUCCAUGUGCCAGGCCAGAGAGGGCAAAGCUGGAGCCCAGCGCGUGCAUUAGAAAAAGGGGGGAAGGGAGUGGAAGGAGGCAGGCUUCCUCAUGCUGGACCUCUGAGGGCCACACCAACAGCGGGUUUCUACAGGAGAACUCUUUUCUAGUGAUCAUGAUAGCAGAGAUGUGUGUCCCUCCAGAAAGGCAGCAGCCGCAGGCGUCACCUGCCCGGCCUAUCGGCUAUGAGAUGAUUUUUUUGACUCGGGUUAUUUUUUUUGAGCCUAAGCACUUCCAGUGGAUUCUCACUACCUGGAAUAUUUGAAAACUUGCCAUUACUUCAGGUUCCACCUGAACUAAACUUUUUCCCCCGAUGAUUCAGAUAUUUAAUGGAAAUAUUUGGUCUUUUAUUAUUUAUUUAUUAUUUUGUUUUCUACAAAAUAAAUCGAAAUUUUCAUACGUGUAUACAACGUCUAUGAUCAUUGCCGAUCCCGUUUCUGAACUCGGGCUUCCCCCAAACCUUCCUGGGACAACAGGGUUGUUGCUAUGCAGCCCUGGCAAGCCAAGGAAAACUGUGUAGAGAGAGAAGUUAGCUCAAAUG
rnacentral:lncRNA from 1 species